rnacentral:rRNA from 1 species
CCUACGGGGGGCAGCAGUGGGGAAUAUUGGACAAUGGGGGAAACCCUGAUCCAGCGACGCCGCGUGGGUGAAGAAGGCCUGCGGGUUGUAAAGCCCUUUCGGUAGGGACGAAAACUCUUGAUCUAACAAAUCAGGAGCUUGACUUAACCUACAUAAGAAGCACCGGCUAACUCUGUGCCAGCAGCCGCGGUAAUACAGAGGGUGCGAGCGUUAAUCGGAAUUACUGGGCGUAAAGCGCACGUAGGCGGCUUUGUAAGUCGGAUGUGAAAUCCCCGGGCUCAACCUGGGAACUGCACCCGAAACUACAUUGCUAGAGUAUGGGAGAGGGAGGCGGAAUUUCCGGUGUAGCAGUGAAAUGCGUAGAUAUCGGAAGGAACAUCAGUGGCGAAGGCGGCCUCCUGGACCAAUACUGACGCUCAGGUGCGAAAGCGUGGGGAGCAAACAGGAUUAGAUACCCUUGUAGUC